rnacentral:rRNA from 1 species
UACGAAGGGGACUAGCGUUGUUCGGAAUUACUGGGCGUAAAGCGCACGUAGGCGGAUUUGUAAGUCAGGGGUGAAAUCCCGGGGCUCAACCUCGGAACUGCCUUUGAUACUGCAAAUCUCGAGUCCGAUAGAGGUGGGUGGAAUUCCUAGUGUAGAGGUGAAAUUCGUAGAUAUUCGCAAGAACACCAGUGGCGAAGGCGGCUCACUGGCCCGAUACUGACGCUGAGGCACGAAAGCGUGGGGAGCAAACAGGG